AGAGUUUGAUCCUGGCUCAGGACGAACGCUGGCGGCGUGCCUAAUACAUGCAAGUCGAGCGGAGAUAGUGGAGCUUGCUCCAUUAUCUUAGCGGCGGACGGGUGAGUAACACGUGGGCAACCUGCCCUGCAGAUCGGGAUAACUCCGGGAAACCGGUGCUAAUACCGAAUAGUUUGCGGCCUCUCAUGAGGCUGCACGGAAAGACGGUUUCGGCUGUCACUGCAGGAUGGGCCCGCGGCGCAUUAGCUAGUUGGUGAGGUAACGGCUCACCAAGGCCACGAUGCGUAGCCGACCUGAGAGGGUGAUCGGCCACACUGGGACUGAGACACGGCCCAGACUCCUACGGGAGGCAGCAGUAGGGAAUCUUCCGCAAUGGACGAAAGUCUGACGGAGCAACGCCGCGUGAGUGAAGAAGGUUUUCGGAUCGUAAAACUCUGUUGUGAGGGAAGAACAAGUACCAACUAACUACUGGUACCUUGACGGUACCUCACCAGAAAGCCACGGCUAACUACGUGCCAGCAGCCGCGGUAAUACGUAGGUGGCAAGCGUUGUCCGGAAUUAUUGGGCGUAAAGCGCGCGCAGGCGGUCCUUUAAGUCUGAUGUGAAAGCCCACGGCUCAAC
rnacentral:rRNA from 1 species